rnacentral:misc_RNA from 1 species
AGUCGUAACAAGGUUUCCGUAGGUGAACCUGCGGAAGGAUCAUUACCGAGUGAGGGCCCUCUGGGUCCAACCUCCCACCCGUGUCUAUCGUACCUUGUUGCUUCGGCGGGCCCGCCGUUUCGACGGCCGCCGGGGAGGCCUUGCGCCCCCGGGCCCGCGCCCGCCGAAGACCCCAACAUGAACGCUGUUCUGAAAGUAUGCAGUCUGAGUUGAUUAUCGUAAUCAGUUAAAACUUUCAACAACGGAUCUCUUGGUUCCGGCAUCGAUGAAGAACGCAGCGAAAUGCGAUAAGUAAUGUGAAUUGCAGAAUUCAGUGAAUCAUCGAGUCUUUGAACGCACAUUGCGCCCCCUGGUAUUCCGGGGGGCAUGCCUGUCCGAGCGUCAUUGCUGCCCUCAAGCACGGCUUGUGUGUUGGGCCCCCGUCCCCCUCUCCCGGGGGACGGGCCCGAAAGGCAGCGGCGGCACCGCGUCCGGUCCUCGAGCGUAUGGGGCUUUGUCACCUGCUCUGUAGGCCCGGCCGGCGCCAGCCGACACCCAACUUUAUUUUUCUAAGGUUGACCUCGGAUCAGGUAGGGAUACCCGCUGAACCUAAGCAUAUCA